rnacentral:rRNA from 1 species
UACGAAGGGGACUAGCGUUGUUCGGAAUUACUGGGCGUAAAGCGUGCGCAGGCGGUUUGUUAAGUCCGCUGUGAAAUCCCCGGGCUCAACCUGGGAAUGGCGGUGGAAACUGGCGAGCUAGAGUGUGGCAGAGGGGGGUGGAAUUCCACGUGUAGCAGUGAAAUGCGUAGAGAUGUGGAGGAACACCGAUGGCGAAGGCAGCCCCCUGGGCUAACACUGACGCUCAGGCACGAAAGCGUGGGGAGCAAACAGG